ensembl:lncRNA
UUAAUGAUGCGUAUUGCUGGUGGUACAGUAGGUAGCUACUUUCUUGUUACCAUGAAGUGCUUUAUUCCACAAACUAUGACUGGGUCCUUUAAAGUAGCUACUUUCUUGUUACCAUGAAGUGCUUUAUUCCACAAACUAUGACUGGGUCCUUUAAAGUAGCUCCUAAGAGAUUCAUAAAUAUGUUUUCAUUUGUUUUUAGAGAAUUGAAGAGUGUGCUAAUAGAGAUUUCUCUUGUUCAGGGGAGCUGACACAAUGUUAUUCUGUUUUUAAUAAUGCAUCCAUUGAUUUACAAGGCAGCAUCUUCUGGACUGUUUCAGUUACUGUGAUCAGUUUGACUGUUUUACCAAACAAUAACUUGUUUACCAUCCCACUCUUUAAUUUGAAUGUGGAUGUGUCUGGAAUGGAUGUUUGAUACUACCUUCACACAUACGCACAUCCAUGCACACAUUCACGCAGGCGAAGUUUGAACAAUUUGAAGCUUGACACCUACGUAUUAUUUUGGUUAGUUAUUUUAUUGAGUAUAUCUCUUUUUCUAUGUUUUAUGUUUAUUUGUGCUGUAGCAACCUCUUCAGAUCUUUGUUCAUUGUCCAUGUUCUGUUUUGUAUGAAACGGAUGGCUAGUUUGCAUCAUUUUACUUUGAUAAGGACUAUUUCAAAGACUUUUAAAAUAUAAUCAUGGAUUUCUUAUUGAUUAAUAGUUGUAUCAAAUAUUCAGAAUGCACUUAAAUGUUCAAUGCCUAUUAAUGAAGUUAUUCAAAUGUUGUACUCUUUUUUUAAGGUAGAAAAUGCAUAAUUUGUCAUCAAUCUUCCUCUGUAGUAUGUGUUGAUUGACUGACACUCAAUCUGCUGUGAAGUAAUUAUAGACUGAUAUGACAAGGAUUCAUUAGUUCAAAUGUAUAGAUAGAUUAUCCUUGUAAUCUGGACCCUGUCAAAUGUCCUUAAUUAGUUUACAAUCAAUAAUGUAUGGGUCUGCGUGGAAAGUGCAAGGCCCACUCAAUAAUAUACUUAUUCUAGUUGAUUCAUGGUUUUGUGAACAUAUUGUAAUGCCCUCCAGAGAUUGCUCUUGGUUUAGAGUUCAACAUGAGGCCAGUAGUAUUGUUAGAUGGAGUGGACUAAUGCCGUUUGUCGAAUUUUCUGGUUGAACACAAAAAAAACACUACAUUCAUGUCAUGCUUCCUGUUUUGUAAAUAAAUG